CCUACGGGAGGCAGCAGUGGGGAAUAUUGGACAAUGGGGGGAACCCUGAUCCAGCCAUGCCGCGUGUGUGAAGAAGGCCCUCGGGUUGUAAAGCACUUUCAGUGAGGAAGAACGCCUGGUGGUUAAUACCCAUCAGGAAAGACAUCACUCACAGAAGAAGCACCGGCUAACUCCGUGCCAGCAGCCGCGGUAAUACGGAGGGUGCGAGCGUUAAUCGGAAUUACUGGGCGUAAAGCGCGCGUAGGUGGCUUGAUAAGCCGGUUGUGAAAGCCCCGGGCUCAACCUGGGAACGGCAUCCGGAACUGUUAAGCUAGAGUGCAGGAGAGGAAGGUAGAAUUCCCGGUGUAGCGGUGAAAUGCGUAGAGAUCGGGAGGAAUACCAGUGGCGAAGGCGGCCUUCUGGACUGACACUGACACUGAGGUGCGAAAGCGUGGGUAGCAAACAGGAUUAGAUACCCUGGUAGUC
rnacentral:rRNA from 1 species